rnacentral:tRNA from 2 species
CGUUAGCUCAGUUGGUAGAGCAGGGGACUUUUAAUCCCAAGGUCUAGGGUUCGAAUCCCU